rnacentral:rRNA from 1 species
GAUGAACGCUGGCGGCGUGCUUAACACAUGCAAGUCGAACGGAAAGGCUCCUGCUUGCAGGGGUACUCGAGUGGCGAACGGGUGAGUAACACGUGGGUGAUCUGCCCUGCACUUCGGGAUAAGCCUGGGAAACUGGGUCUAAUACCGGAUAGGACCACAUUUUGGAUGGUGUGGUGGAAAGUUUUUCGGUGUGGGAUGAGCUCGCGGCCUAUCAGCUUGUUGGUGGGGUAAUGGCCUACCAAGGCGUCGACGGGUAGCCGGCCUGAGAGGGUGUACGGCCACAUUGGGACUGAGAUACGGCCCAGACUCCUACGGGAGGCAGCAGGGGGGAAUAUUGCACAAUGGGCGCAAGCCUGAUGCAGCGACGCCGCGUGGGGGAUGACGGCCUUCGGGUUGUAAACUCCUUUCGCUAGGGACGAAGCGUUUUUGUGACGGUACCUGGAGAAGAAGCACCGGCUAACUACGUG